rnacentral:sRNA from 12 species
GCUUUCAACAUCCCCGUUUUCCUGUCGCCCCAGCCGAUGGCAGCGAGAACUGAAGGC